rnacentral:rRNA from 1 species
AUUGAACGCUGGCGGCAUGCCUUACACAUGCAAGUCGAACGGCAGCAUAGGAGCUUGCUCCUGAUGGCGAGUGGCGAACGGGUGAGUAAUAUAUCGGAACGUGCCCUAGAGUGGGGGAUAACUAGUCGAAAGACUAGCUAAUACCGCAUACGAUCUACGGAUGAAAGUGGGGGAUCGCAAGACCUCAUGCUCCUGGAGCGGCCGAUAUCUGAUUAGCUAGUUGGUGGGGUAAAAGGCCAGCAAGGCGACGAUCAGUAGAUGGUCUGAGAGGACGACCAGCCACACUGGGACUGAGACACGGCCCAGACUCCUACGGGAGGCAGCAGUGGGGAAUUUUGGACAAUGGGGGCAACCCUGAUCCAGCAAUGCCGCGUGAGUGAAGAAGGCCUUCGGGUUGUAAAGCUCUUUUGUCAGGGAAGAAACGGUUCUGGAUAAUACCUGGAGCUAAUGACGGUACCUGAAGAAUAAGCACCGGCUAACUACGUGCCAGCCGCCGCCGUAA